rnacentral:miRNA from 10 species
ACGUGCGCUGUAUGUAACAACAC